rnacentral:rRNA from 1 species
GAAACCGUUUAGGGGUAAACCUGAGAAACCCGAAAGAUUGAAGGAAGAAAUUCAUUCGCGUUUCGAUACAGGCAAUGAAGAAUUUAUAUGACGAUGUACAUUUUUAUAUGUAUGACGCAUUAAUUUUUCAUUUGAUCCGGUAACGAACGUGUGCACUUUUCUUCUGGUAGGACGUCGCAAUCCGUUGGGUGUCGAUCUACGAUUUUAUAGUGGAGAUCACUUGUGUCAUAUUUACGUAUGUUACAUAAGUGAACCUGUAUUAUCUGGUCGACGAAAAUUUUUAACACUCCGACGGUAGUCAAAUGGUUUGGGGCCGCUCUCUUUGGAGCGUUCGACUCGUAACAAGCGCGCUAGAUGUGUUGAAGUCCGGACCUAGUGCCGGUCCCAACCUCUAGUGACUGUUCGUUACGAUGUUCUCGAACAGACCUCAUUUAAUUGUGAAAACCGAUUGGCGACGCUAUAGCUUUGGGUACUUUCAGGACCCGUCUUGAAACACGGACCAAGGAGUCUAGCAUGUACGCAAGUCAUUGGGAAUUAUUAAACCUAAAGGCAUAAUGAAAGUAAAGAUCUUUCUUGUAGAGAUCGAGGGAAGAAGAAUGAAUUAAGUUUUUUAUUAGACUGUCAUUCUGCAUUCCCGGGGCGUUUCAUUCUCAUUACGAGUUGAGGCGCACUAAGAGCGUACACGCUGGGACCCGAAAGAUGGUGAACUAUGC